UAAUCCGGGGAGGACCACCCGGGGCGAAGCGAUCGUUUGGAACGCGCCCGACGGGUGGGGAGCGAAUGCUGGGGGAGCAAAUGGGAUUAGAUACCCGGGUAGUCCCAGCUGUAAACGAUGGGGGGUAGCUCUUGGGCGGGCUUAGAGCCCGCCCAGUGGCGGAGGGAAGCCGUUAAGCCCGCCGCCUGGGGAGUACGGCCGCAAGGCUGAAACUUAAAGGAAUUGGCGGGGGGGCACCACAAGGGGUGAAGCUUGCGGCUUAAUUGGAGUCAACGCCGGAAACCUUACCCGGGGGGACAGCAGGAUGAUGGCCAGGCUAACGACCUUGCCGGACGAGCUGAGAGGAGGUGCAUGGCCGUCGUCAGCUGGUGCGU
rnacentral:rRNA from 1 species